GCAGUAGGUCAGUGGUAGAGCUCCCGGCUCGUACGCGGGGGACUUGGGUUCGAAUCCCAGCUGC
rnacentral:tRNA from 1 species